ACAGAUGUAUGGUUCUAAGAUAUACCUUAAUGUACCCCUCCCCCAAUUUCAACCUGGCAAGUUCGCGGGAUAUCUCCUCACCUGAUGCAAAAGUUUGGAUAACAAGACUUGGAUGGAUGUAUGAAUACAUGCAGAGAAGCCAUGGAGUCAGCUAAUGACAGCACAAUUUCACAGCAAUGGUCAGAGAAGGAAGCUACCAUGCGAGCCACCAAUUAUAGCUUGACGAGCCGCAUGUGACUCGUGAGCCGCGCAAUGAGUAACGCUGCUCUAGACUCAUCGGUGCCACCAAGCCAAUUCAGUGCAGAUGUUUCAGAAUCAAGUUCAUCUUCAGAACUUUUGCUGCAGCCUUCUGACUCAGACUCAUCAGUUCGACCCCAGCUGUUCCACCCCAAAACGAUCAUUAGCUUUUAAAUCUUCAUCAUCAAACAGCAGAGGUAUUUUGGGAAAUGUCUUCCUAAGAAGGUGGAGGAAA
ensembl:lncRNA